rnacentral:rRNA from 1 species
AUUGAACGCUGGCGGCAUGCUUUACACAUGCAAGUCGAACGGUAACAGGCCUUCGGGUGCUGACGAGUGGCGAACGGGUGAGUAAUGCAUCGGAACGUACCCAGAGGUGGGGGAUAACGCAGCGAAAGCUGUGCUAAUACUGCAUGUGAUCUGAGGAUGAAAGCGGGGGACCGAGCAGCAAUGUUUGGCCUCGCGCCUUUGGAGCGGCCGAUGUCGGAUUAGCUAGUUGGUGGGGUAAAGGCCUACCAAGGCGACGAUCCGUAGCUGGUCUGAGAGGACGACCAGCCACACUGGGACUGAGACACGGCCCAGACUCCUACGGGAGGCGGCAGUGGGGAAUUUUGGACAAUGGGCGCAAGCCUGAUCCAGCAAUGCCGCGUGCGGGAAGAAGGCCUUCGGGUUGUAAACCGCUUUUGGCAGGAACGAAACGGUGUCCGCUAAUACCGGGCGCUAAUGACGGUACCUGCAGAAUAAGCACCGGCUAACUACGU